CCUACGGGAGGCAGCAGUGGGGAAUAUUGGACAAUGGGCGAAAGCCUGAUCCAGCAAUGCCGCGUGAGUGAUGAAGGCCUUAGGGUUGUAAAGCUCUUUUACCCGGGAUGAUAAUGACAGUACCUGGAGAAUAAGCUCCGGCUAACUCCGUGCCAGCAGCCGCGGUAAUACGGAGGGAGCUAGCGUUGUUCGGAAUUACUGGGCGUAAAGAGUACGUAGGCGGUGAUUCAAGUCAGAGGUGAAAGCCUGGAGCUCAACUCCAGAACUGCCUUUGAAACUAGAUCGCUAGAAUUAUGGAGAGGUUAGUGGAAUUCCGAGUGUAGAGGUGAAAUUCGUAGAUAUUCGGAAGAACACCAGUGGCGAAGGCGACUAACUGGACAUAUAUUGACGCUGAGGUACGAAAGCGUGGGGAGCAAACAGGAUUAGAUACCCUGGUAGUC
rnacentral:rRNA from 1 species